GCCAUAACUCAGUAGAAGGGCAUUUGCUUUGUAUGCAGAAGGUCACAGGUUCAAUCCCUGGCAUGUACA